rnacentral:rRNA from 1 species
AAUGAACGCUGGCGGCAUGCCUAACACAUGCAAGUCGAACGAGACCACCGGGUCUAGUGGCGCACGGGUGUGUAACGCGUCGGAACCUGCCCUUAUGUUCGGAAUACCUCUCCGACAGGGGUGCUAAUACCGGAUAAUGUCUUCGAACCAAGGAUUUAUCGCACUUGGAUGGCCCGGCGUUGGAUUAGCUAGUUGAUAGGGUAAAAGCCUACCAAGGGGACGAUCCAUAGCUGGUCAGAGAGGAUGAUCAGCCACACUGGGAGUGAGACACGGCCGGGACUCAUACGGGAGGCGGCAGUGGCGAAUAUUGGACAAUCGGCGAAAGCCUGAUAGACCAAUGCCGCGUAAAUGAUGAAGGUCGUGAAGUAGUAAAGCUAUUUUACCCGGGCUGAUAUUGACAGUACCGAAAGAAUAAGCCACGGCUAACUCCGUG